UACGUAGGGGGCAAGCGUUGUCCGGAUUCAUUGGGCGUAAAGGGUGCGUAGGCGGCGCGGUAAGUCGGGUGUGAAAUCUCGGAGCUUAACUUCGAAACUGCAUUCGAUACUGCCGUGCUUGAGGACUGGAGAGGAGACUGGAAUUUACGGUGUAGCGGUGAAAUGCGUAGAUAUCGUAAGGAAGACCAGUGGCGAAGGCGGGUCUCUGGACAGUUCCUGACGCUGAGGCACGAAGGUCAGGGGAGCAAACGGG
rnacentral:rRNA from 1 species